GAUGAACGCUGGCGGCGUGCUUAACACAUGCAAGUCGAGCGAGAAAUCGCUCAGUUGAUACUUCGGUUGAAAACAGAGCGACGGAAAGCGGCGGACGGGUGAGUAACGCGUGGGAAACCUGCCCUUUACAGGGGGACAGCCGAGGGAAACUUCGAUUAAUACCCCAUAAUGCCAUAGUAUCGCAUGGUACAAUGGCCAAAGAUUUAUCGGUAAAGGAUGGUCCCGCGUCUGAUUAGUUAGUUGGUGAGGUAGCGGCUCACCAAGGCGACGAUCAGUAGCCGGCCUGAGAGGGUGAACGGCCACAUUGGAACUGAGACACGGUCCAGACUCC
rnacentral:rRNA from 1 species